UACGGGGGGGGUAAGCGUUGUUCGGAAUUACUGGGCGUAAAGCGCACGUAGGCGGAUUUGUAAGUCAGGGGUGAAAUCCCGGGGCUCAACCCCGGAACUGCCUUUGAUACUGCGAAUCUCGAGUCCGGAAGAGGUGAGUGGAAUUCCUAGUGUAGAGGUGAAAUUCGUAGAUAUUAGGAAGAACACCAGUGGCGAAGGCGGCUCACUGGUCCGGUACUGACGCUGAGGUGCGAAAGCGUGGGGAGCAAACAGG
rnacentral:rRNA from 1 species